rnacentral:rRNA from 1 species
GAUGAACGCUGGCGGCGUGCCUAAUACAUGCAAGUCGAGCGAACAGACGCGGAGCUUGCUCCUCUGACGUUAGCGGCGGACGGGUGAGUAACACGUGGAUAACCUACCUAUAAGACUGGGAUAACUUCGGGAAACCGGAGCUAAUACCGGAUAAUAUAUUGAACCGCAUGGUUCAAUAGUUAAAGACGGUUUUGCUGUCACUUCUAGAUGUAUCCGCGCCGCAUUAGCUAGUUGGUAAGGUAACGGCUUACCAAGGCCACGAUGCGUAGCCGACCUGAGAGGGGGAUCGGCCACACUGGAACUGAGACACGGUCCAGACUCCUACGGGAGGCAGCAGUAGGGAAUCUUCGGCAAAGGGCGAAAGCCUGACGGAGCAACGCCGCGUGAGUGAUGAAGGUCUUCGGAUCGUAAAACUCUGUUAUUAGGGAAGAACAAAUGUGUAAGUAACUAUGCACGUCUUGACGGUACCUAAUCAGAAAGCCACGGCUAACUACGUG